rnacentral:tmRNA from 1 species
GGGGGUGUCGGGCAUCGAUAGGAAGUUCAUUGUCAACGUGCGUGCGUGAGGGUGUUCGGGACCUCAUGAAUCCCUCGGACAUUGGCAUACCUGCCAAAAACAUCUUUGCACGCGCGAAGAGCGCAUUGGCUAACGCCUUUGCAAUCCCAGCGUUUGCAGCCGUUCCCGUCUAACGACCGGAACCAUCCGCCCGAUAAUGCUCAAUAGUCGGAUACGGGUGUUAUAUUUUUGAGCUCGUAUGAAAGCGCGUCAUCUGUUUUCAUAUUAAAUACACGAUGGCACCCUAUCGGAGUUUUCAUCCGUUUUUUAUUUCGAUAGGAAAAACCAAGCGGAUGAGCGCACGUGGACCGUUGAUAAAAGACUUUCUAGACAGGAGUUCAACUCUCCUCACCUCCAUGU